CUCCAGGGUAUGAGGACUGCCUUUCCAUGUCUUCCUCCCUUCCACCAUUAAGUUGGUGGUUGAGAAAUUUCUCAGAAAAGAAUUAAGAAUCUUACAUGGUGGUAGAGCUUUUUUUUUUUUUUUUUCUUUGAAGGUGGGUGGUGGUGGGAAGAGAUGGCAAUCUUCCUGUCUUGGAUCUUGUUUCCUGGGAAACCUCCACAGAGACUACCAGUUGACCGGACUCGGCUGGAGCUGUGGUUUCAGACAGCAGCCAACAGGAGCC
rnacentral:lncRNA from 1 species